UACGUAGGGGGCAAGCGUUGUCCGGAAUUACUGGGCGUAAAGAGCUCGUAGGUGGUUUGUCGCGUUGUUCGUGAAAACUCACAGCUUAACUGUGGGCGUGCGGGCGAUACGGGCAGACUGGAGUACUGCAGGGGAGACUGGAAUUCCUGGUGUAGCGGUGGAAUGCGCAGAUAUCAGGAGGAACACCGGUGGCGAAGGCGGGUCUCUGGGCAGUAACUGACGCUGAGGAGCGAAAGCGUGGGGAGCGAACAGG
rnacentral:rRNA from 1 species